rnacentral:tRNA from 1 species
AAAGUUUUAAGUUAAUAAGACUAGGAGCCUUCAAAGCUUUAAGCAAGAGUUCACCCCCUUAAACUUUA